UCCGGUUUGGCACCGGCGGUCUCCGAUGAGUCCCCGGCUUUACCCGCUGGCAACAUCGGACAGGGGUUGCGCUCGUUGCGCCACUUAAGGCAACACCUCACGGCACGAGCUGACGACAGCCAUGCAGCACCUGUGCGGGCUCCCGAAGGAGCGCCGUGUUUCCACGGCUUCACCCCGCAUGUCAAGCCCUGGUAAGGUGGGGAUGACGUAGCUGUACCAUAGA
rnacentral:misc_RNA from 1 species